UUGAACGCUGGCGGCAUGCUUUACACAUGCAAGUCGAGCGGCAGCGCGGGGCAACCUGGCGGCGAGCGGCGAACGGGUGAGUAAUAUAUCGGAACGUACCCUGUCGUGGGGGAUAACACAUCGAAAGAUGUGCUAAUACCGCAUACGACCUGAGGGUGAAAGCAGGGGAUCUUCGGACCUUGUGCGAAUGGAGCGGCCGAUGUCAGAUUAGCUAGUUGGUGGGGUAAAGGCCCACCAAGGCGACGAUCUGUAGCGGGUCUGCGAGGAUGAUCCGCCACACUGGGACUGAGACACGGCCCAGACUCCUACGGGAGGCAGCAGGGGGGAAUUUUGGACAAUGGGCGCAAGCCUGAUCCAGCCAUGCCGCGUGCGGGACGAAGGCCUUCGGGUUGUAAACCGCUUUCAGCCGGAAAGAAAUCGUCAAGGCUAAUAUCCUUGAUGGAUGACGGUACCGGAAGAAGAAGCACCGGCUAACUACGU
rnacentral:rRNA from 1 species